rnacentral:rRNA from 1 species
UGGCGAACGGGUGAGUAAUACGUGAGUAACCUGCCCUUGACUCUGGGAUAAGCCUGGGAAACUGGGUCUAAUACUGGAUACUACCUCUUACCGCAUGGUGGGUGGUGGAAAGGGUUUUACUGGUUUUGGAUGGGCUCACGGCCUAUCAGCUUGUUGGUGGGGUAAUGGCUCACCAAGGCGACGACGGGUAGCCGGCCUGAGAGGGUGACCGGCCACACUGGGACUGAAACACGGCCCAGACUCCUACGGGAGGCAGCAGUGGGGAAUAUUGCACAAUGGGCGGAAGCCUGAUGCAACGACGCCGCGUGAGGGAUGACGGCCUUCGGGUUGUAAACCUCUUUCAGUAGGGAAGAAGCGAGAGUGACGGUACCUGCAGAAGAAGCGCCGGCUAACUACGUGCCAGCAGCCGCGGUAAUACGUAGGGCGCAAGCGUUGUCCGGAAUUAUUGGGCGUAAAGAGCUCGUAGGCGGUUUGUCGCGUCUGCUGUGAAAGCCCGGGGCUCAACCCCGGGUCUGCAGUGGGUACGGGCAGACUAGAGUGCAGUAGGGGAGACUGGAAUUCCUGGUGUAGCGGUGAAAUGCGCAGAUAUCAGGAGGAACACCGAUGGCGAAGGCAGGUCUCUGGGCUGUUACUGACGCUGAGGAGCGAAAGCAUGGGGAGCGAACAGGAUUAGAUACCCUGGUAGUCCAUGCCGUAAACGUUGGGCACUAGGUGUGGGGGACAUUCCACGUUUUCCGCGCCGUAGCUAACGCAUUAAGUGCCCCGCCUGGGGAGUACGGCCGCAAGGCUAAAACUCAAAGGAAUUGACGGGGGCCCGCACAAGCGGCGGAGCAUGCGGAUUAAUUCGAUGCAACGCGAAGAACCUUACCAAGGCUUGACAUUCACCGGACCGCCCCAGAGAUGGGGUUUCCCUUCGGGGCUGGUGGACAGGUGGUGCAUGGUUGUCGUCAGCUCGUGUCGUGAGAUGUUGGGUUAAGUCCCGCAACGAGCGCAACCCUCGUUCUAUGUUGCCAGCACGUGAUGGUGGGGACUCAUAGGAGACUGCCGGGGUCAACUCGGAGGAAGGUGGGGAUGACGUCAAAUCAUCAUGCCCCUUAUGUCUUGGGCUUCACGCAUGCUACAAUGGCCGGUACAAAGGGUUGCGAUACUGUGAGGUGGAGCUAAUCCCAAAAAGCCGGUCUCAGUUCGGAUUGAGGUCUGCAACUCGACCUCAUGAAGUCGGAGUCGCUAGUAAUCGCAGAUCAGCAACGCUGCGGUGAAUACGUUCCCGGGCCUUGUACACACCGCCCGUCAAGUCACGAAAGUUGGUAACACCCGAAGCCG